ACGUACACUCCUACGGGAGGCAGCAGUGGGGAAUUUUGGACAAUGGGCGAAAGCCUGAUCCAGCCAUGCCGCGUGCAGGAUGAAGGCCUUCGGGUUGUAAACUGCUUUUGUACGGAACGAAACGGCCUUUUCUAAUAAAGAGGGCUAAUGACGGUACCGUAAGAAUAAGCACCGGCUAACUACGUGCCAGCAGCCGCGGUAAUACGUAGGGUGCAAGCGUUAAUCGGAAUUACUGGGCGUAAAGCGUGCGCAGGCGGUUAUGUAAGACAGUUGUGAAAUCCCCGGGCUCAACCUGGGAACUGCAUCUGUGACUGCAUAGCUAGAGUACGGUAGAGGGGGAUGGAAUUCCGCGUGUAGCAGUGAAAUGCGUAGAUAUGCGGAGGAACACCGAUGGCGAAGGCAAUCCCCUGGACCUGUACUGACGCUCAUGCACGAAAGCGUGGGGAGCAAACAGGAUUAGAUACCCCAGUAGUCCCAUGAU
rnacentral:rRNA from 1 species